CUUCAGAGUUGUAAUUCAUGUUUUAUUCAUGUUCCAGCUUUCACCCUCCAUUGAUAAAGACCAGCGUAAUAGCUAAAGGAAGUGCUCUCAACAGAGAAAUUAAAAAAGGAAAGAAAGGGCACCUCUCUAUUACUCUUAGAUUAUGGCAGAAGAUAAAACAAUACAGUAAAUAAUUCCCAACUGUAUUGCCAAAUGCCUAGCCCUGGGCUGGCAAGAGACAAACAGAACGAAUCAUUUCUCAACAGAGAGCCUGCAUUUUGAACUCUCCAGAUUCCAACACAUUGCAGUUACAGUAUGCCAAGCAAUAAGAACCCCAAUAAAUCAAUCAGGGGUUUGAAGCAUGAAUUAUGGGACAGGGGCCAUGCACAUGCCAUUUCUAAGCCUCCUCGUACAUCAAGAUUCUUCCGGAGAUUAGCAAUA